CAAUCGGCCCUUUUCGGGGCCACGAAUUUUCUAACGUAGGAACAA
rfam:Dufourea novaeangliae contig1786, whole genome shotgun sequence.